UGCGGGAUCGGCUAACGGCAGGCCACGAGACUCUGAAUCUCGGUAUCUUGGUUCGAAUCCAAGUCCCGCAG
rnacentral:tRNA from 1 species